UACGAAGGGGGCUAGCGUUGUUCGGAAUCACUGGGCGUAAAGCGCACGUAGGCGGACUCUUAAGUCAGGGGUGAAAGCCUGAGGCUCAACCUCAGAACUGCCUUUGAUACUGGGAGUCUUGAGUAUGGUAGAGGUCGGUGGAACAGCAAGUGUAGAGGUGAAAUUCGUAGAUAUUUGCUAGAACACCAGUGGCGAAGGCGGCCGACUGGACCAUAACUGACGCUGAGGUGCGAAAGCGUGGGGAGCAAACAGG
rnacentral:rRNA from 1 species